GUCGAAUAGUCAUCGGCCAGCCGUCGAUUAUGUGUCGGACCUAGUCAGCUAGACACCGACUUGAUUAGAUUCAUCGUCUUCAGCUGAUAGUCAAAUCCCGUCAAUCUUAGUCGGUUGAAUGCCAACUAGGACAAGACCCGUUGAUCCAAGUCGGUCAGUGCAGAGAUGAGAAAGAAUCAAUUAUCACACACUUAGUCGGUUGGAAGGCGAGGAAGAGAGAUAGUCGGCUAAAUCCCAAGAGUCCUCCUGACUGCAAAUAAAUGGUGCUAAAGGGCCCUCCAAUAAGAUAGAGUCCCUCUGAUUUUGGAGGCUACUGUUGUGAGGGGUUUAGUCCCACAUCGAUUAUGAGUCAGGUAUAUUCUAUCUUAUAUGAGAUACGAGACCCUCUCUCCCUCAAGAAGCAUCUUUUGGAUUAAAAUUCAAAGGACAAAAUCGUGAGGUCUAGCAAUCGCAAGUGUAUCAGCUAUGGCCCAAGGGCCGCAAACUUAUAAGCUACAACAACUGCAAGCGUACCAGCUACGGUCCAAAAACUGCAAACUUAUAAACUAUGAUAUACAUGUGCAACAGUAAUAAUAAUCAUUAGGAC
rnacentral:lncRNA from 1 species